GCAUUAAGGAUGGGCUAAUUAUACUGGGUCAAUAUGGUUUUUGAAUUAGAAUGUAUUUAAAAGUAACAACUUUUGUCAUAGUAGAGUAUGUCGAAGUGAGGGGUGUGUCUUAGUGGGAAGUAUCGAGAGAGAAUAAGUUUGUAAGUUGGUUGUUAGUAGAGAGAUAAGCUCGUACCUUUUGCAUCAUGGUUGGGUUAGAGAGUGUGGUUAUUGUCAAUUGACCCGAAAUCGAUAAGAGCUAUUUUAAGUUCGGAUUUAGGUCGUGGUAUAGGUUAACGUAGUAAAGUUAUCUUAAAAACUUAGAAUAGUUGUGAAAUGCUAGCCGCUUUCGAUGAUAGCUGGUUGUCUCAAAAAUGGAUGUUAGUUCAGGUGUGUUGUUUGGUUUUUAGUGUGAUAAAAUUUUUAACGCUCUCUGGGAGAUUUAGUGUAAGGUUGAGUCUCUAUGUCAAAGAAUUUAUGAUAGUAUUUGAAUUAAAAGUGAAUUGGUUAGUAGGCUUGAGAACAGCCAUUAUAGUGUUUUUGUUAAAAGCGUGCAAGUUUGCCUUUUUAAUGAUUGGAUAAGAUUGGUUUUAGUGUUUUGAUUCUUAUUAUUAUAUGGGACUAAACGAAUUAAUUUUUUUGGUUGUUAAGAUAAUGCUUUAAUGAGUAGGUUUUUUUAUGUAGUUGUGGUUGGACUAUUUUAGGUUGAUUGUGGAAGUUGAUUUGGCCAAAAAAUGAAUAUUAAUUAAAAAAGUCAGCAAAAGGAACUUGGCAAGUUAGCUUAUUCGGCUGUUUAUUAAAAACAUCGCCUCUGGUUGGUUUGUGUCGUAGAACGGAGGUCGUACCUGCCCUGUGGUGUAAAAGCUUAACGGUGGCCUUACUCUGAGGGUCUCAAGGUAGCAUAUAAUGUAUCGGUUAAUUGCCGGAUAGGAUGAAUGGAUGGCAACGAAAGAGUGACUGUCUCUUGUUGAUUUGAUUGAAAUUAAUUUCUAGGUGAAAAAGCCUAGAUAAUCUGAUUAGACGAGAAGACCCCGUGAAACUUUAGCCCGUUUUUGAUGGGGUUAAUAAACAAAGUUAGACCCCCAUCAAAAGAGUGGCUUUAGGUGGGAGGCUUCGAAGGCAAAAAAACCCUUUGGAAUAUUUGGAAUUACUGACAGGUGUCGAACUGUUAAGAAAUUAAAGGUAAUUGGAAUAAGUUACUCCGGGGGUAACAGCGUAAUUCCCUCUCGGAGGUCUUAUUUGAGGGGGGGGUUGCGACCUCGAUGUUGAAUGUGGUUUACCUUUGGCUGCAGCAGGUCAAAAGGGUGGGACUGUUCGUCCGGUAAGAAUCCCAACCUGAUUUGAGUUAAGAACGGCGUGAGUUAGUUCGGUUUCUAUCUGUCAGAUAAAAGGGACUUCUUUAGUACGAAAGGAUUAAGAUGUCGGAUUGUAAUCAUUUAUAAGGUAAUGGGUAAUAUUGGAAGUUAAGAUUUAUUGUGGUUGGUUUGUUGAUAGCUAAAA
rnacentral:rRNA from 1 species